AACUUAACUGCAAAUCAUAAGCACAACUUCCUUCUCAACGUCACAACCUGUAACGGAGAGAAAAACUUUUCAUCUUAUUCAUGGUUUAUCGAUAAAAUCCCACCAACAGCAAUUAUUUCAAGCAAACAGAAUUACUCGAAUGCUGAAAAGAUUACAAUCGACAUUACAUUCAGUGAAGCUUGCAUUUGACAUGGUGGCUUCGAGUGUCUGAACUCAUCAAAUUGUGAUGUUAUUGUUGAUGGUACAACUCAUAUCCAGCCAGCAUCUCUGUGCAUCAUUGAACCUAACAUUAAAUACAGCUUCCUACUGGUUCUACCCUUGAAAGCAUAUAUGGCCGUGUCGUGGUAACAAUGGCUGAUGAUAUUUGUAAGGAUAG